rnacentral:RNase_P_RNA from 1 species
GAGAUUAACUGGAUAACUGCUCUUUUAAAGAGAGGAAAGUCCGAACUCCACAGGACAAAAUGCCUCAUAACAAGAGGAACUAAUUUUUUUAGUUGGAAAGUGCAACAGAAAGUAUACCGCCAUUUAUGGUAAGGGUGAAACGGAGGUGUAAAAGACCCCCAGAAAUAAUUGAAAAAUUAUUUGCUAUGUAAACCCCAUUUGGAGCAAGAUCAAGAAAUCAUGUGUGGUCCGCACAUAAUGAUGGGUAGAUCGCUAGAAUUAAAUUGUGAAAUUUAAUCCAGAUGAAUAGUUAUCUGCUUACUUUACGUAAGUAACAGAAUUCGGCUUAUAAGUUAAUCUCAAGA